rnacentral:rRNA from 1 species
GACGAACGCUGGCGGCGUGCCUAAUACAUGCAAGUAGAACGCACAGGAUACACCGUAGUUUACUACACCGUAUUCUGUGAGUUGCGAACGGGUGAGUAACGCGUAGGUAACCUGCCUGGUAGCGGGGGAUAACUAUUGGAAACGAUAGCUAAUACCGCAUAAGAACAUUUACUGCAUGGUAGAUGUUUAAAAGGUGCAAAUGCAUCACUACCAGAUGGACCUGCGUUGUAUUAGCUAGUAGGUGAGGUAACGGCUCACCUAGGCGACGAUACAUAGCCGACCUGAGAGGGUGAUCGGCCACACUGGGACUGAGACACGGCCCAGACUCCUACGGGAGGCAGCAGUAGGGAAUCUUCGGCAAUGGGGGGAACCCUGACCGAGCAACGCCGCGUGAGUGAAGAAGGUUUUCGGAUCGUAAAGCUCUGUUGUUAAGGAAGAACGAGUG